rnacentral:piRNA from 2 species
UUUUAAAUGUGGUUUGUUAUUGUAGCA